rnacentral:rRNA from 1 species
UACAGAGGUCUCAAGCGUUGUUCGGAAUCAUUGGGCGUAAAGCGCGUGUAGGCGGCCCGGUAAGUCCGCUGUGAAAGUCGGGGGCUCAACCCUCGAAUGCCGGUGGAUACUGUCGGGCUAGAGUGCGGGAGAGGCGAGUGGAAUUCCUGGUGUAGCGGUGAAAUGCGCAGAUAUCAGGAGGAACACCAAUUGCGAAGGCAGCUCGCUGGAACGUAACUGACGCUGAGACGCGAAAGCGUGGGGAGCAAACAGG